GGCUGUAGCUCAGUGGUAGAGUGCUUACUUCACAUAUGUGAGGCACUGGGUUCAAUCCUCAGCACCA
rnacentral:tRNA from 1 species